UACGUAGGGGGCAAGCGUUAUCCGGAUUCACUGGGCGUAAAGGGAGCGCAGGCGGCAUGGCAAGUCUGAUGUGAAAACCCGGAGCCCAACCCCGGGAGUGCAUUGGAAACUGCCAGGCUGGAGUGUCGGAGGGGUAAGCGGAAUUCCUAGUGUAGCGGUGAAAUGCGUAGAUAUUAGGAGGAACACCAGUGGCGAAGGCGGCUUACUGGACGACUACUGACGCUGAGGCUCGAAAGCGUGGGGAGCAAACAGG
rnacentral:rRNA from 1 species